rnacentral:rRNA from 1 species
AUUCCAGCUCCAAUAGCGUAUAUUAAAGUUGUUGCAGUUAAAAAGCUCGUAGUUGGAUUUCUGGCAGAGUGUCCUCCGUCCAGCAGUUCGUUUGGUUCGGAGCGCUCUACCAUCCUUCUGUUAACCUUUCCGGGAUUUACUUUUCGGACUGGGGCUCAGAUAUUUUACCUUGAGAAAAUUAGAGUGUUUCAGGCAGGCUAUUCGCCGGAAUACAUUAGCAUGGAAUAAUGGAAAAGGACUGCAACCUCUUCUGUUGGUCUGGGAGGCUGAAGUAAUGAUUGAUAGGGAUAGUUGGGGGCAUUAGUACUUUCCAGUCAGAGGUGAAAUUCUCCAAUUUGGUAAAGACUAGCUUAUGCGAAAGCAUUUGCCAAGGAUGUUUUCAUUA